rnacentral:lncRNA from 1 species
CAGAAGACAAGAACUGGAUAUUCUAAGGCUUGGAGGAACUAGAGGGCUGGGUUUGGAGAAGGUUGAGCAUAUUCUGAAGCAUUCCAUCAUUCUUCUCCUUUUCCUUUGCUAGGUCAGCUCUAUGGCCAUCUCUCUCAGUUUCCAAUUCAGCAACACUAGCUUGAGGCCUAGCAAUAUCAGCAUCCUUAGUUCCACAUUCUUGAACCAAAGCCUUAACCUUGCUGUUCACAAGUGUCUUCAGAGAUGAACCAGGUUCAACUGGGGUGGCAUUCACUGGAUAGUCACAAGCCCGCAGAGUUUUGAUGCGAAAGUGUGCUUGAUGGCAUCUCCCAUUCUUCAAAGGCACACUCAGCCUUUCCAUAACAACAGUCAAUAGGAACCCAUAUGGAGUGGCAUGAGCCUUGGAUCCAUUGAUGACCCUAUCCAACGGUUUGACAAUGAAAGCAGGCUAAUUUAUCUGCAUUCAUCUCAUAAGGCACUCUAUAAGAAUGAGAUCCAUGUAGUUGGCACUGUGCCUUCUCUCCUAUCUGGGCAGUAGGCACUUGUUAACAAACUCAAACAGCACAUUGUGCUCAGGCCUCAUUUCAAACUAGCCUCAGCCACAUCUUUAGCAGCUUUAGUAUCACAAAAAUUUCUAGUAAUUUGGAGAGAAGUAUGGAGAGAAUCUAGAUAAGGCCACCUCUACCUAGUAUAAUCAUCAUACCAUACACUGGGUAUGUCCAGAAUCUCACCCAAUUUGGGUGCAUCAAACUGCACCUUUACUCCUUUCACCAGACUGGUGAAUACCCCAUUCUUCACAGUGGCAAUGGCCAUGAAUUGAAUCAGUUCCUUCUUGGCCAGCCUCCCAUCCACUUCAAGUACCAUGUCCUUCCACCUUUGUAUAUCUAGAGCAUCCACCAAUCUUCUCAUUUUUGGCUCAUCCAAGUCUUUCAACAAUCUUCCUUUCAAAUUUGUUCUUCUGCCAAAGAUGGAAAACCUAUCCUGUUCUUUCUCAGACUCCUCUUCUUCUUCUCUACUCCAUUCUUCUUUUCUUCUUCAGUAAUUUUUACCUGUUUUCCUUUAACUGCAGAUCUGGUUCUUUUGGCUAAGAAGGGUUCAACAGAUAAAUUUUUUGAUGAAUACUUUUUGGAAGAAGUCUUGGAUCCUUUUGGUUUGGGGGUAGGAACCUCCACUGUUCAACCUCUUUCUUGAUAGAACAGUUCCAUCUCCUCCUCUUCUUCUUCUGCAGCCUCAGAACUUUCCACAACCUUUGCUUUUCCCUUUUCCUUCUUGGUUUUCUUGCUUUCUUCCAGAGCUUUCUGUAACUCUGCUUCACUUUGUUUGACCAUGCUUCUAGUAGCUCUUCCCUUUGGUACUAAGGGGACAAUAGGCUUUGGAGAUGAUACUUUUCUUUUAUUUGUUGUCUUGGAAGCAGUUGGAGCCUUUUGUGAGGAAUCUUCUUUGGAACAUAAUUGGCUCCAAACAUUUUUAGAAUGUUUGCUAGGGUUUCCUCAACAGAUGAACCGGGUUCAUCUUAUUGCUUGCUCAAAUGAACAAGCCCUUCAACAGCCUCCCCAGAACCUCCCCAUGACUUAUUGUCACUCUUUUCAAUACCUCCACAGAUAGCAAGAACUUGUUUUUUACCUCCCACCUACUUGACUUAACCCCCUUUACAUCUUUCACAGAACCAACCAAAACAAACCUAUUAUCUAAAUUUUCAACCACAUAUGACAAUACCAUGAAAGAACUUACCUCACCAUGGGUUUCUUGAAUCUUGUCAGUGUCAGAAGACCCAUGUUCUUCACCUUCGCUGGCAGAGAUAAAAUCUUCAGACUCAGAGCUGGAGUCAGAUUCUUUAGUAGGACUUUCCUUCUUCUUCCUAGCCCUCAAUUUCUCAUUCAGAGCUUUUCUCAGAGAACCAAAAGCUACAGUUUUUCUAGCCAACACUUUCUACCUGUGAAACCUAGGUUUUGGGGGUUAACUAGGGGUGUAGAUGAGGAUGUAUUAGAAGGGGAUACUGGUGGGGGAGUUCCAGUAUUAUCAUGGGGUUAGUCAUGGUGAAUUAUUUCUGGAGAAUAUUUGGGAAUUUUGGAGAGAAAAGAGAUGAUCAGAACUAGAUAGAGG